AGAGAGAGACAUGCGCGCAUAUCAAUAAGCGGAGGAAAAGAAACUAACAAGGAUUCCCCUAGUAACGGCGAGUGAAGCGGGAAGAGCUCAAAUUUGAAAUCUUAAAGGGUUUCCCUUUACGAAUUGUAGUUUAAAGAAGUGUUUUCUGUUGAGGUUUUGGUAAAAGUUCUUUGGAAUAGGACAUUAUAGAGGGUGAGAAUCCCGUAUUUGACCUUUACUUUCAACUUUGUGAUACACUUUCAAAGAGUCGGAUUGUUUGGGAAUGCAGUCCAAAAUGGGUGGUAAAUUUCAUCUAAAGCUAAAUAUUGGCGAGAGACCGAUAGCGAACAAGUACCGUGAGGGAAAGAUGAAAAGAACUUUGAAAAGAGAGUUAAACAGUACGUGAAAUUGUCAAAAGGGAAGCGUUUGACACCAGUGUUGUUUUUCUGAAAAUCAAUUAAAGAACUGUUUAUGCUAAGCUGUUUAGACUUUAUCAGCUAUCUGUUUAGUUUUGAGCUUUUCUUUAAUGCACUUUUCAGUUAACAAGUCAACAUCAAUUUCUUUUGCUGUAAAAAAGCUUGAGGAAGGUGGCUUGAGAUUCGUCUUAAGUGUUUAUAGCCUCUUGCCUAUGCAGUCGGAGAGAUUGAGGUCUGCAGCGUAGAUCCUUCGGGGCUAAAUGCAUUUGUGCUAAGUUAUAGCAUUUUAUAGACAACUUGUUGACUAUGAUUCGUCUUGUAGCUUACUCGCUUAUGUUAUUUUACCUACGCUUAGGAUGUUGACGCAUGAGAUAUACGC
rnacentral:rRNA from 1 species